rnacentral:tRNA from 1 species
UUCCUUAGUAGCUCAGUGGUAGAGCAAUCGGCUGUUAACCGAUUGGUCGUAGGUUCAAAUCCUACCUGAGGAGA